rnacentral:rRNA from 1 species
AGUAACACGUGGGUAACCUGCCUUAUAGUGGGGGAUAGCCUUUCGAAAGGAAGAUUAAUACCGCAUAAGAUUGUAGUAUCGCAUGAUAUAGCAAUUAAAGGAGCAAUUCGCUAUAAGAUGGACCCGCGUCGCGUUAGCUAGUUGGUGAGGUAAUGGCUCACCAAGGCGACGAUGCGUAGCCGACCUGAGAGGGUGAUCGGCCACAUUGGGACUGAGACACGGCCCAGACUCCUACGGGAGGCAGCAUG